rnacentral:lncRNA from 1 species
UUGAAAUUCCCAUCCAUGAUCUUAAAUAUAUCCCACAUCGAACUCUAAGGAAACCUGAGAGAGAGCUAGGUACUAGAAAAGCAUUUGGGCUACGUCUAGUUAAAGCAUACCUUUCUCGGCCUUUUGGCUAAGAUCAAGUGUAGUAUCUGUUCUUAUCAGUUUAAUAUCUGAUAUGUGGGCUAUUAGCCCACACGAUAUUAAAUUAAUUUUUUUAGGGUGAAGGUCCGCCAAGGUAGCUUGCUGCCUGGGCCUUCGAGCGUCGCCCAUGCGUUGCACUACAGCACGGGCCUGGCGCAACCCGCCAAACCUAGUUCAAAUCGUUGAUGGGCUUUAUUUUUGAGCCGUUUCCUGUGUUUUAUCUCUAGUGACUAGUAAAUUUAAGGAGGAAUUUGUGGGUCCUUGAGGUUUUCUUAAUGGAACGUGGAAGCCAAUCAAUUGUGGUCAGAACCUGACAAAGGGCAUUAUGGCGCAAAAUGGGCUAUAAUGCUAGUAGAAAGUUUGACGAGUACGAGUAUUGUAUUGUGGGGGAAAAUGCGAAAAGCUACUAGCCUUCAAUGCUCCGAAUGGAGCCAAGGAGAUCAACUUUUAAUUGAAUAUGCAUGCUUUGAUGGGGUACCGUAUGAACAUAGGGCAAGGUGGCUAACUCAGAAUGAGCAGAGUUGGGAACCUCAAUGAUUGGAUGCACAUUACGAAUUGGCGAGCAUCUUGGCACCAAUCAUAGAAUAGGGAAACAUUCAGCCUUUCACGCUAGCGUGCUUCACGGUGAAAAAUAUGCACGGAUCAUGUUUAGACUUGUAAUGGAGAAAGACUUGGCAGUCGAAUGAAGUGAGACAACUGCAACAUGGGCGAAAAACAAUUUUUCUAUGAGACUUGAAGAAUCGUCCCAUUACACGACAACUUCUUGUUAAAGUUUUUGGGCUGUCUCACUAUUAUUCUUGGCCAGUUGGGCCGGUUCUGUUUUUGAUGAACUGCAAGAUUUAGUAAAAUCGUGCUUCUUGAAAUAGCACCUUAUGCCUUUCUUUAAGGGUUAAUAUCUGUUGUCGACGUGGCAACAUCUUUGACCCUUGGAUCAUGACCUUUGGGUUGGACAUUUAUAUACUUGGUCAUGCUUUUUCUUUGACCCAGUGUGAGUGAGACUUCUGGGGUCUUCCGUCUUCGUCUUCUGAGUGCUAGGGUUUUUACUUGAAAAGUUCUGUAAUCAUUCUUUGUGAAGUGCAAUCUCUUUUUCUUUGUGAAUCAGUGAGUGCUUAGUGCAAUCUUUGAGAUUGUAACAUGUGUAGGUUACAGAUCUUGUAAAUAGAGAGGCUGGAGAAAUACCGAAGGAAUCUUCAAUUUCUUCGAACAUUUGUACUAAUUCUUGGUUGAUAUUAGUGGAUCUUGAAUACAAUCUCGUGGUAGAUGCUCAACGGAUGACUAAAUCUAACGAUUGAACAUCCGGGCCCUAUUCUAGGGCAAAAACAUAUUGCUUUGUCUCGUGUUCUUUUAAUUUUUGCAAACUUUAUAAAUCUGUUUUUACAAAUCAACCAUUAUUCAAACGAUUCUUAAAUAACAAGUGGUAUUAGAGCCACUUUUCUAAAAAUUUUGGAUCUGUUUGUUCGAAUUUUUUUUUUCUUUUCAAAACCUUAAGUUUCUUUUAUUCAAAACUUUUAGAUCUGUGAAAGAGGAGACGGACGAUUGUUCUUUGAAAAGGGGGUACCUUGUGUCUUGCCUCAGAUCCAUAUUUGGUUGGAUCUUUGAACGUAAUUUUUUUUUUAUCUAGCAUCUAAAUUUGUUGCAUUUUUUGAAAUCUUUAAUGAUUGUUGAGAUAAUUCUUACAACUCGUUUAAACUCACCUCUGGUCCUUUUUUUCUGCUGAGUUCAAAUGAUUUCUGAGUUGACUCGUUACUGAGUCUUAUCGAGUACUAGUACUCGUACUGAGUUUGGCGAGCUAUGUUGACUCAUCCCGAUUCCUAUCGAGUUCAUACUGAGUUACUGUUGAUUAAUUGGCAAUUACACCUGCACUGUAAUUGUUUGCUCAAACCUUGGUUUUGCCCUGCAGUUAUUUCUGAAAUCCUUAAAAUUUCAGACUCUGGUAUAUCUCUGCAACCCAUUUCUUUAAAUUGCUACUGUUCUUGUUAAGUUUUGGAAUUGGUUGUUAAGGUAAGUUACCCUCCUCUGCUUUCCUUUGUCCAAGAUCUCGUUGAAGGUCUAGGAAUCUGAGGAAGCAGUUGAACAGAAGGGUUACCACCCCUUAAACCUUUUCAUAAUUGACAUUAAUACUCUUGUGAAUUGUAUGUUAAGUAUCUGCAAAAGUAAUUUUCUAUUGCAUUUUUUAUAAUUACAUGCCUGUUACCUUUAAUAUUUUUCUUGAAUCAAUUGUACUUGUUGUCCUAUUCAAUCAUAAUCUGUUGCUUUGUGUUGGUCAUCAUGUCUACUACUACACAUAAAUUUGAAAUUGAGAUAUGGAAUGGCAUUGGUGAUUUUAAUCUCUAGCGCCAAAAGAUGAGGACCCUACUAGUAAGCAGAGAUGUGCUGUAGCCCUUGAUGGAACUUGGGCUGUAGAGACUAGUACUUAUAGGAGACAAGAAUUGGAUGAUACUGCUUGGAGUACCAUUUUCCUUCAUCUCUCUGAUAGUGUGAUUAGGAAAGCAGGAGAAACUAUCUUUGCUGAGGCUUUAUGGACUAAGUUAGGAACACUGUAUCUAAAUAAAUCCAUGCCUUAUAAAUGCUACCUCUUAAGGCAGUUUUAUAACUUUAGAUUUGAUCCUACUUUUGGCCUGGAAGAAAAUCUCGACAAAUUUACUAAAUUGAUUCAAGACUUGGAGAAUUGUAAUGAAAAGUUAUCUAAUGACCAACAAGUUGUUGCUUUAUUAAAUUAUCUAAGUGAAAGGUAUAGAGAUAUCAAAAAUGCUCUAGAAUAUGGGGGGCAGGAUCUUACCAUAGACAUAAUAACUUCAGCCCUCAAAAACAAAGAACUUAAAUUAAAAACAGAGUCAAAAGAUUUCAAGUUUGGAGAGGGGUUGCAUAUAAAAGAGAAACAAAUUCAAAAGAAGAAACAAAAUUAGUGCAAUUUCAAUUCCUACAAGAAAGGAAAGUCUCAAUACAACAAACCCAAAAAUAAAAACAAGAACUUUGCCAAAUCCAAAAACUAAAACAGGAAAUGCUAUUAUUGUGGAAAAACUGGACACCUAAUAAAAUAUUAUUUUAAGAAAAUUUCUGAUAUGAAGGACAGAAACAACAUUGUUGGCUCUGCAGCUAAGGUGUUGUUCUUGUCAGUGCAACCAGUAGAAACCCUAAAGAUUGGGUCCUUGAUUCUGAAUGCACUUUCCACAUGUGUCCUGUUAAGGAAUGCUUUUCUGAAUUUGUUGACCUUAGUGGAGGGUAAAUUCAGAUGGGUAAUGACACGUGUUGUCAAAUACAUGGAAUUGGUAAAGUGAGGUUGUUAUUAGAGAACAACUAUAUUCUUGAGUUGGAAAAUACUAGAUAUGUCCCUGAACUUAAGAGGAACCUUAUCUCCUUGGGAGAACUAGAUGAAAAAUAUAACAUAAUGAUUCAUAAGGGACUUAUUACAAUAAAUCAAGGAAGCAAGAAUGUUAUAUCUUCUCAUAAGAAAAAGGGCAUAUAUACUGUCUCUGCUGAACCUGUGAAAAUCCAUUGUACUGCUGCUUUAAAUUCUGAUCCAAACAAGGUUUUGAUAUGACAUAAAAGACUUGGCCAUAGCUCAAAAAAAGGGUCUUAUAAUUCGAAACAAACUUGGGUGUUUUGGAAAUGACAACAUUGAAAGUUUAGACUUUUGUAAAAAUUGUUUGAUUGGAAAACAGAAAAAACUACCUUUCAAAACUGGAACCCAUAAAUCCACUCAUAUCCUAGAUUACUUACAUGCUGACCUGUGGGGGUAUAGCAUCUGUGAGUACCUUAAGUGGGUUUAGGUUCCAUCUGCUUAUUGUAGAUGAUUUUUCAAGGAAAUUUUGAACAUUUCUCUUAAAACAAAAGUCAGACACCUUUCAUACUUUUAAAUAGUGGAAAAACAUAAUUGAAAAUCCAACCAAAAGGAAAAUCAAAGCACUAAGGACUGUUAAUGGACUUGAAUUUUGCAAUUCUGAAUUUAACCUUUUUUGUAAAGAAUUUGGAAUAUUGAGACACAGAAUUGUAACAUACACUUCUCAGCAAAAUGAUGUUGCUGAGAGGAUGAAUAUGACUUUGUUAGAAAAAGUUAGAUGUAUGAUAUACAGUUCUGGUCUCCCAAAGUCCUUUUGGGAUGAAGUCCUAAAAACUGCAACUUAUUUGAUAAAUAGAAGUCCAUCUAUUGCUAUUGACUUUUAGGUUCCUGAAACACCAUGAUCUGGAAAAACACCUGAUUACAAUUAAUUGAAAGUGUUUGGAUGUGCUGUCUUUUCUCAUCAGAGUGAAGGCAAGCUUGAACCUCGAUUUCAAAAAUGUGUUUUCUUGGGAUAUGGAGAGGAAACCAAAGGGUAUAGACUUUGAUAGUAGCGGACGCAGACAUUUUGAGUUAGUGGGGCACAAUUAAACUUGCAAAAAUAUAGAUUUACGUUUAUAUAAAUACCACUAUGUUUGUCAUCACUUUUAUCUCGAAUAUUCAUUUCAUUAACAUUGUGAUUAUAAAAAAAAAAUGCAUAUUUACAUUUAAAUUAUUUUUCCAUCACAAUUAAUUCAAGCGAAAAAUACAAAAAUUUCAGCAAUUCUGAAUGUUAAAUUAUCAAAUGCAUUCUAGUUCAAACAAAUACAAAAAUCACGGUAAGAAUCCAUUAACAUAAAAUCACCAGAACAAAAUAAAAAUUGGAGCACUUAAAUGGAUCCCUAAGUCCAUUUUAUAAGAAAAUACAAAAGAAAUCAUACAAAAGAAAUAAUUUCCCAAAAAAAGAGGUAUAUAAUUCAUCUUUCACAUUCUUUAAAAAAUUAAUAAUUCAUUCAAAGUUUUUAGAUUUUCCAGGCUGGAGUUCUUCUGCUGCAAAUCUAAUUACAUAAAAAAAAAAUCAAUUUUAAGUUGGUGGGUCAAGUGAUCCACCAGGACCAACUGUGGGUCCGCCAGUGGACUUUGGAUCAAAAGCCUAGAUGGUUGUAAGGUUAUAGUCAGUAGAGAUGUCAUUUUUAAUUAAAAUGAAAUGCCUUGUUAUAAAUCUGUGGACACAAAUGCUUCUGAAUCUGUAUCUGCUAAAGAAACCAUCCUGGAAACACAAACUGAAAAUCAAGAUGAUUUUAUUGAGGUGGAGUCUGCACAAUCUAAAACAUACCAAGAACCUUCUGACCUUGAAAAUGAAAUUGAAUCAACAGAUCCUAUUAUUGCUGAUUAUCAACUUACUAAAGACAGAGAAAGAAUGUAUAUUAUAACUUUUACCAGGUUUAAUAAUGAAUAAUUUGUUACUCUAUUUUCUGCUUUGGACUCCUUAAAUUCUGAACCUACUACCUUUGAAGAAGCAAUUAAAGGUCCUGAUUCAAAACUUUGGAAACAAGCUAUGAAAGAGGAAAUGGAUUCCCUUAUUAAAAAUAGAACCUGGACUUUGGUUGAUAGACCUAAGAAUCAAAGAGUAGUUGACUGUAAGUGGAUCUUUAAAAUAAAACAAGGAGACUCAAAUCUAAAAGAUAAGAGGUAUAAAGCCAGGUUGGUAGCCAAAGGCUUUACACAAAAGGAAAUAGUAGACUAUGAUGAAAUUUUUUCACCAAUCGCUAAGUACACCUCAAUCAGAAUUCUGCUGGCUUUGACUCCUCAUUUUAACUGGGAGUUAGAUCAACUUGAUGUUAAAAUAGAUUUUCUAAAUGGUGACCUUGGUGAAAUAAUAUAUAUGAAUCAACCCUUGGGGUUUGAGGUCAAAUUUGAAACAAAUAAGGUUUGUUUGUUGAAAAAGUCUCUAUAUGGGCUUAAACAGGCCCUCGGGCAAUGGUAUUUGAAAUUUAAUUCUUUUGUACGGAAUUUACGUUUUAUGAAAAGCAAUUAUGAUUCCUGUCUCUUCUAUAAGGUUUAGGUGGGUCUGAAUCCAUUUAUCUGCUAUUAUAUGUAGAUGAUAUGUUACUUAUUUGUCAUGAUAGAACUGAAAUUGACUCUGUUAAAGCAAAGUUAAAAUCUGAAUUUGAAAUGAAAGAUUUAGGACAAACUAGGAGAAUUUUAGGAAUGAAGAUAGAAAGGGAUAGAAAUAAUUGCAUAUUAAUGUUAAAACAAGGUUACUAUGUGAAAAAGGUUCUUGAAAAAUUGUCUAUGCUUGAAUGUAAACCUGUUUCACUUCCUAUUGCAAAUCGUUUUAAAUUGUCCAGUGAGCAAUCACCUAAAACUGAUGAUGAAUUUAAAAGAAUAGAAAAGGUGCCAUAUGCUAAUGCAGUAGGUUCCAUUAUGUAUCUUAUGGUCUGCACCUGAUUUAGCCCAUAGUAUUAGUAACUUGAGUAGAUGUAUGGCCAAUCCUGGUGAAACUCAUUGACUUGCUAUGAAAUGGAUGUUGAAAUACUUAAAAGUUUCAUGUGAUUUAGGUUUAAUGUUCAAAAGAAGUAAUGAGGGGAUAAUAUUAAAGGGGUACAUAGAUUCUGACAUUGCUGGUGACUUAGAUAAAAGAAGGUAUACUUCUGCUUACAUCUUUACUUUGUGUGAUGGUUGCAUCAGCUGGAAGUCUCAGCUUCAAAAAUUAGUUGCAUUGUCUUCAACUGAAGCUAAAUAUAUUGUUGCCUGUGAUGCAGUAAAAGAAAGUGUCUGGUUAAAAGGUCUGUUGAAUGAAAUUGGUUUUCAAAAUGAUUCUGUUGUUAUUUACACAGAUAAUCAAAGUGCAAUUCACCUUAGUAAAAAUUCAGUAUAUCAUGAUAGGACCAAACAUGUAGAUAUAAAAUUUCAUUUUGUACGAAAUCUCGUUGAAAAAGGUCUGAUCAAGUUGGUCAAAAUUCCUACACAAUUCAAUCCUUCUGAUCUGGGAACUAAGGUACUGCCUCUAAAUAAAUUCAAGAACUACUUGAAGAUUUUGAACAUCACUUGAAGAAGUGAUAUUUUGAAAAUCUAAGCAUUAUUAUUUGCAAAAUUGCACUAACUCAAUCCUUUUUCUUUUUACAGGUUGUGAGAGCAAAUGAAACCAUGAGAUAACUCUCCAAUUUAAUAGAGGCCAAGAAUUAGUUCAGUAACGUGGAGGUUAUUAAAGUUUUUGGGUUGCCUCACUUUCAUUCUUGGCCAGUUGGACCUGUCCAAUUGGGCCGGUUCUAUUUUGAUAAACUGCAAGAUUUAGUAAAAUCGUGCUUCUUGAAAUAGCACCUUAUGCCUCCCUUUAAGGGUUAAUAU